AAUUGUUAACUAGUUUUAUUUGUCAAAAAUUUAUUAAUAUUUAAAAUUAUAAUAAUAAUUAUGGUUAUUUAAUUAAAUUAAAUUAAUUAAGUUAGGUUAUAAAGGGAGUAAUGUAAAUGAAAAUUACUGAAAUAUAAAAAAAAAAUUUUAAAUUAUUGUACUUUUUGUAUCAAGGGUUAUUAAAUUAUAUUUUUAUUAUUUAAAAUGUCUCGAAUUUAAAAGAGCGAAUAAGUUAUGAUAGUUAAUGUUUAAUAAUUAUUAUUAAUAAUUUAUUAGUGAAGAAAUUUUAGUCAAUUUUAAAGAUAUCUAGUUUUUUUUGAUUUAAUUUAAUUUGGUCUUGAUAAACAAAAAUAGUUUAUUUAUAUAUAAAAAUUUUUUUAUUAAGAUAAUAAUUUAUGGGAUUAACUAUAGAUUUUAUUAAAAUUAAGAAUAAUUUUUAUUAAAAAUUAUAUUUAUAGAAUUUGAAUUUAAUAGAAAAAAUUUAAUAAUUUAUUAUAAUGAUUGAGUUUAAAAUUUAUGAGAUUAUAAAGGAUAAAAUAUUUAACUAUGUAGAAAAAGUAAUUAGAAUUUUUUAAAAUUAAAGUAUAAUGAUAAUAUUAGUAUAAAAUGAAUUAAUAGAUAAAGUAUUGGAUGGGUGUAUAUUAAUUUAAGGAAUUAGGCAAAUUUUAGUAAGUCCAACUGUUUAGUAAAAACAUAGCCUUAUGAUUAUAAUUUAAGGUUAUUUCUGCCCCCUGAUUUAUUUUAAAUGGCUGCAGUAACUUGACUGUGCUAAGGUAGCAUAAUCGAUUGUUUUUUAAUUGGAAACUGGUAUGAACGGAGAAAUGAGAUUUAAGCUGUCUUAAGUUAAAAAUUAGAAGUUGUUUUUUGAGUAAAAAAACUCAAGUAAGAAUAUGGGACGAGAAGACCCUAUAGAAUUUAAAAUAAAUUUAAAAAAAAAUUAGGUAUACAUUAUUUUUAAACAGAUUAUUUUUAGUUGGGAGGAUUGUUAGAUUUUAUAAACUCUAAUUAAUAUAAUAGUACUAAUUAGUAUAAUUUAGGAUGACAUAUAUGUUUAAAUAAGAAUUAAUUACCUUAGGGAUAACAGCGUAAUAUUUUUGGAUAGAUCAUAUUGAUAAAAAUGGGUGCGACCUCGAUGUUGAAUUAAGAUAAAAAUUAAAUGAAGAAAUUUAAUAUUUAAGUCUGUUCGACUUUUAAAAUCUUACAUGAUUUGAGUUUAGAUCGGCGUGAGCCAGAUCGGUUUCUAUCUAUAUUUAAUUUAAAAAUUUUUGUACGAAAGGACUUUAUUUUUGUAAAAUUUAUAGAAAGAUACAAUUUUAAUAAUAAUUUAUUUAAAUAAUUACUUUGGCAGAUUAGUGUGU
rnacentral:rRNA from 1 species